rnacentral:sRNA from 1 species
GGCGUUUGCCCCCCGCCAGGAAGGUGGGGUCUUGGGUGGUCAGGACCUGGGCUCCUGGGGUCGCCCCCGUCCUUCAGAAUACUCCUUAACCCACGUGUGCCUCAGAUCGUGUUCGACGAGUGUCACAAAGCCAAGAAUGCCGGCUCCACCAAGAUGGGCAAGGCCGUGCUAGACCUGCAGAACAAGCUGCCCCUGGCCCGCGUGGUCUACGCCAGUGCCACAGGUGCCUCUGAGCCUCGGAACAUGAUCUACAUGAGCCGCUUGGGUAUCUGGGGCGAGGGCACACCCUUCCGGAACUUUGAGGAGUUCCUGCACGCCAUCGAGAAGAGGGGCGUUGGCGCCAUGGAGAUCGUGGCCAUGGACAUGAAGGUCAGCGGCAUGUACAUCGCACGCCAGCUCAGCUUCUCCGGCGUCACCUUCCGCAUCGAGGAGAUCCCGCUGGCCCCAGCCUUCGAGUGUGUCUACAACCGCGCGGCCCUGCUGUGGGCCGAGGCCCUGAACGUGUUCCAGCAGGCGGCCGACUGGAUCGGCCUGGAGUCGCGCAAGUCCCUGUGGGGCCAGUUCUGGUCGGCACAUCAGCGCUUCUU